UACAGAGGAGCCAAGCGUUGUCCGGAUUGACUGGGCGUAAAGCGCACGCAGGCGGUCUGGCGCGUGGGGUGUGAAAUCUGGCCGCUUAACGGCCAGGCGCCAUCCCAUACGGCCGGACUGGAGCCUUGCAGAGGUCGGUGGAAUUGCCGGUGUAGUGGUGAAAUGCGUAGAUAUCGGAAGGAACAUCAGUGGCGAAAGCGACUUCCUGGACCAGUACCGACGUUCAGGCACGAAAGCGUGGGGAGCAAACAGG
rnacentral:rRNA from 1 species